AUAAACUAAGAUGGUCUUGUAUACAUGUACUAGUUUUAAACGUUUAUAUUGAAAUGAGUAUACCAACGUCCACAUUGUGAAUAUAUAAUGUAUUUAUCAUAUAUAAAAUAUACAAAAUAUAAAUAAACAAAACGCAGCCAAGGAAAUUAACUAACGAAAAUGUGAACAUCGUUCUGGCAAAACUGGGCUUAAUGCAUGUGUGUCUAAUGUCGUCACAGAUUGGCAUGCGCAGUUUACAAAUCAGGAUAAUCAGUCGCCUGUAUCUCUGACACGGUGAGUGACGCAGUACCGGAAGCGUUGAACACAAUCCACUGAGACAUGAGCACGAAUAACCAAGCCCUUAAGAACAUUAUCACAGCACGAGAAGCACGUGUAACAUGGCCAAAACAGAGCACGUUACCGCGAGCACGGGAGGCGAUUGGUUACACUAGUAUUGACGUAGACCAAAGUGACGUCAUUUUUACGGAGUGGUUAUACCCCUAAGAACCGCGAAGUUUUUAUUAUAAUUACAUAAAACACAACUAUUUUGCUUGUUUUGACAUGAACAAAAAAUGCUUAAAUAAAUGUUAUGAUCCUUCCUGGCUCUGGACAGCUUAAGCUAUAAUCAAUGUAAGUUAGUAAAGUCCUCGCGUUAGUCAGCAGCGUUUGCAAGCAACCGUUGAUAAAACAUCCAUGGACAGUCUUAUAUCACGCUUCCAAAAGAACACGAGUACACAAUUGUUACCGAAGAGCUCAGUAUUGCAUUUCAGUGAAAGUGAUAAUCUUUUGUUAGAAUUAAGUUUAAAUUAGUUUCGCGUUUAAUAUGACAAAAAUAAAAAACAAGAAGAAAAAACAACUAAAAAGCCUGCUUCUUACAGUUUUGUAUUGAGUGUUAUUCUUGUGCAAGCAAUCAAUAUCUCAUCGAUGUUGGUUAGAUAAAAUUAUCAAAUUAUGAUCCUUUUUGCUGAAAAACACUCAACUUUCUUCAUGAAACGUUCUUACAGUACAGUAAUCAUCAUAAAAUUGUUUGUAUUAAUCCCAAAACUAUGCUUGCACUGAUUAGGCUAACUCUUAAAUCCAUAAACAUAUUUUCAAUUGUACAUAAAUUCAAUGCGACGCAUGUUUAACAUCUUAUGUGUAAGAAGACUUUCAAAUAAAUGCUUAAUUACAA